ensembl:lncRNA
CCGUGGGGCACCGCCGUGUGCUGCUGCUGCUGCUGCUCCUCGUGCCUCCCGUGGGCGCUGUGCCGGAGCUGGAGGGGCUGCAGGAGCCCCGUCCACAAAGGAGGCACGGAGGGGCAGAGCAGAGAGAGGGGGCUCUGCGUGGAGUGGGGCCGGGAUGGGGCUGAGCUCUCCCGCUGCCCACGCGUUUCCCCGGCCGUGCGUUGGCCGCCCCGUGCAGCCCUUUGGGAUGUCGACUUCCACCUGGAUGGACCGAGCUUUGUUCUGCUGCUGCUUGCAUGAAGGGCAGAGCUGAUGAGCACAAAGCGUCAGAAAAGAACCGCGAAACAAAACGGCUCUGGCUGUGAUGAGGAGCGUGCUGGCAGGAGAUGCUAACAGCGAGCAGUGAGGGUCACCAACAGAGAGCCCCACAGCCCAGCAGGGACACGGCGUGGGGUUGGGGCACUGCGAGCAUCCGUGUGCGGGCAGAGCCUCUGCUCCCCAACGGCCUCGUUUACAUUUCUUCUGCUUUACCACGCAGCGACUCCAGCAGCUCUGCGACACUGCAGGAAAGAAGACACAUUCUCACACUUUUCUAAGGAAGAGAAGUUUUUCUUACUAGAAUUUUUUUAUUUAUUUUAAUAUAUAGAACACUGUAAAAAAAAAAAAAAAAAAGCAGAAUCUGUUAAAGAAAACACGCAGAAUCUGUAAGUUUGUAUGGGUAGAAUUGGGGCAGGUGGACGCGGUGGGGUUGUUUUGUCCUGUUGUGGUGCAGUCUACCUCAGUGUUUCUUAAGGAUACUUUUAAUACUGCGCACCUCCAAACCUGUUCCGAUGGUGUGGGCUGGACCCGGCGAGGGUCAGGGAAACCAAUGUCAGCUGGUCCCGAUUCUGGGGCCGGAAGGGAACGGGUGGAGCAGCUCCAUCACUGCUGAUCGCUGUUCUGAGUCGUAGUGACCAAAGGAAACUGCUUCCAGCUCCGGAUGCACAGCAGCACGUUUGCAUCUGAUACUCUGAUAUCAUCUUCGUUCUGUUGCGAUUAGGAAAAAAACAAAAAACACUAAAAAAGACCCAUUUAAAUGGACGUUGUGGAUGGAGGGGCGGUGGCUGCCUGCAGUGAGCCCUCCCCGUGUGCCGUUGUUCUGACAUCUCAAAUCGCAGUGAUCUGAACUGCAGCAAUAGAGCACUGUCUGCAUGGGGCCUGCGCUGGCUCUGGCUCUGCAGCUCGGCUGGUAUCCGUUGGCUCUGAGCACACGCAGCACUCCGGUCACCCAAUGCAGGGCUGUGUGUUGGGCUUUGCAGGCGCGCUGUGCAGCUCACGUCGUCGUCUCCGCACUGAGAGCAGCAGUGGUUGGACCCAAUGCUGCGCAUGGCAGCCCCACUGCUGUCCUUCCUGCAUUGCUCCUGGCCAGGAGCACCGCGGGGCGCCCAACGGAGGAUAUCCUCAGCCACAGUGCUCCACCCUGACAGAAACAAACAGCCCCAGCGGUUGCCACUUGUGGCUGUAAAAGAUGAUGCUCAGCUGCGGAAUUAGGAAGAGCAAAGUCACGUCAUCACAGAGCCCGGCUCUGGGUUUGGGAAAACCCUCCGCUCCCAGCUGCCACGUGAGGCCCUCCCCGCACGGUGCAGGGCGCUCCGGGCCUGCCUGCAGUGCUGGUGUCACAGCACAGAGCUGCGCCUAUUGGGGAGCAGCCACGGCACUAUGGGAGCAGCGAGAGGUGCUGGAGCAGCCGCAGCAUUGCGGCUUUGAAGCCAGCCGAGCAGGAAGCCACAGCACUGCUUUGCUCUGCGCUGUCAGCGGGUGUUGUUGUGUGGGGCUGGAGAGGUCCCAGAAACAUUUGUGUUCCAUUCAGUGUCCGCCUCCUAAACGCCUCUUGCAAACCCGGUACUUCUCUUGCCGUACAGCGCAGCAUUGCAAAGCUCGUCUGCGAGGUUCAAAGCGCGUCGUGGCUGCUUGUAAAUACUGAUUGUGUUGUAAAAUAGAAGAGCUCAUCGUGUGAUAAUGCAAACCGUGUGCCAGCUCUGGGUUGGGAAACGUGGUAGGAAAUAGACCAAGCUGCAAGGAGGGUGUUCUGUGCUGCGCGCGUAGGGAAGAGGCUGCUCAGUGGUUGCUUAAGGGUACUCGAAAUUUGUGGGUAGUAGAUCUCUUUCCUCCUAAAUUUGUAUUAUAGUAAUGGGGCACUUUGCUUAAUUUUAGUUUUGUUGCAUUUAAUGUUGGUAUCUCUUUGGAAAAAGUUGCUUACUGUGUUACUGACCGAAGUGUGAUGGAGGAGAAUAGCAAACAGGAGCAGGAAGGGGCUGUGGCAGUCACCCCCGAGCCCCCAUGGUAGGGGCAGCUGAGGGCCCAUCACGUUCCCUUUGCCAUCGCUGUGAUGCAGAUCCGGACCCCGAGGUGCCCCGAGCCAUCACUGGCGGCAGCGAUACCCAAGAGUGGGCCUGGCACCUCGCAUGGAGUCAGGGAGGAGAAUGCCGUCGUGCACAGCACCCCGCUGUGCGCCGGGAUAGGGGCUCCCGAAUGGGUUGGGAGGUGAAAUUCACAGCAGGAUUCGUUCAGCAUUUGCGUGAACUGAAUGAAUUUGGCCUUUUUCUCACCUUCUGCUUGGCUCUGCGGCUCCGCUCAGACGGACGCCUGCAGGGAUGGGACUCCUCAGUGCCAUUUGGGGGCUGCCGGUUUUACCAGAUCUGCUGCCAUUCAACGUGCAUUUCUUUUUGAAAUGGAAUUGCUUGUCCUCCUCAAAAGUAAGCACUUACUCCUGCAGGUUCAGCAAAAUAACUGCAGCACAAUGCAAGCGAUGGGGGACGGGUCGAGGAAUGACUUUUUAAAUAUUGUAUAAUAAAGUUAGUAUUAACUCUACGGUAUGGCCACGGUUUUUGUACAGCGCUGCAGAGUGGGGGGUGGGUGGGGGGCGCUCAGCAAAGCCCUGCUGACCCCGUGACGGCUCUCACUGCAGCAUGGGAUGGGUUUGCAGCCCCAAUGCCGGCGCUCAUUGAGCUCUUUGUUACCCAAUGUUCUGAGCCGGGCCUCUUCCCAAAGCUCUCCUCCAAACUCUCCCUGCAAAUCCAUAUUGCUUCAAACCGCCGUUGCUUCCAAACUCUUCUCCCAUCACCUGCAAAGCAGCAACUCUUAGGGACGCUGUUUGAAAGGCGAGCAGUGAUCGAUUUUGCUUUUGUUUGCAAAGCGCUGCUGUUUGUGGGGCGGCGGAGUCCAACAGUCUGCAGGGCUCCAGGGAUGCAUGCUGUGCUGCAGCUCCAUCCAACGCAGCCCAAAGCAAACACUGCUCUGCCUGCAGCCGCCCCACAAACAGCAGUGCUUUGGGACGCUCACCGUGCUGCUCCCACCUUCCUCACUGCACAUCCGAGCUCACAGUGUGCACAUCGCAUUGCAGGUUGCAUUGCAGAUUGCAUUGCAGGUUGCAUUGCAGGUCGCAUUGCACAUCUCAUUGCAGGUUGCAUUGCAGACCCCUCUUGUAUGAAAUAAAGGAUCGAAUGUGCCAUGAUUUAAAAAAAAAAGAAAAAAAAAAAGAAAAAAAAACCCAAACCCUCCCCUUUAUUUUGUCAGUGUUUUAUAUGUAAGAGCCGAGCAGUGACGUGUACAGAACACAUCGCUGAGUGUUAAGAGAGCACCUUGCUGUGUGACAGAAUGUUGAGCAAUUACGGUUUAUAUUAAAAUUCUGAAUAAAUUAUCCAAGAAUAUCUUCCAUUGGGUUUCUGGGAAAGCUCUGAGCUCCUGGCUUGGAGCAUGCGAUGCUUUCAGCUACAAAACGAGUGGUGUGAGGGCCCAAAGAGCCACGGGGCUCAGCUCAGGGCUCAGUUUGGGGCUCAGUUUGGGGCUCAGAGUGCUCCCCACCCCACGCGGUGAAUUGCCACCAGUGUGAGCAAUGUGACGGAAUCCUUGCAAAGAGCACUCCUCCUUUUGGGAGGUGGUGGCCACCCCCGAUGGCGCUCCACACCCAGGUUGGUCUGCGGUGAAUUCCGGCGCUGUGAUGAGCAUUGAUGUCCAUCAGCAGGGAUUGUGCGGG